rnacentral:rRNA from 1 species
UGGGGAAUUUUGGACAAUGGGCGAAAGCCUGAUCCAGCAAUGCCGCGUGUGUGAAGAAGGCCUUCGGGUUGUAAAGCACUUUUGUCCGGAAAGAAAUCCUUGGCUCUAAUACAGUCGGGGGAUGACGGUACCGGAAGAAUAAGCACCGGCUAACUACGUGCCAGCAGCCGCGGUAAUACGUAGGGUGCAAGCGUUAAUCGGAAUUACUGGGCGUAAAGCGUGCGCAGGCGGUUUGCUAAGACCGAUGUGAAAUCCCCGGGCUCAACCUGGGAACUGCAUUGGUGACUGGCAGGCUAGAGUAUGGCAGAGGGGGGUAGAAUUCCGCGUGUAGCAGUGAAAUGCGUAGAGAUGUGGAGGAAUACCGAUGGCGAAGGCAGCCCCCUGGGCCAAUACUGACGCUCAUGCACGAAAGCGUGGGGGAGCAAACAGGAUUAGAUACCCUGGUAGUCCACGCCCUAAACGAUGUCAACUAGUUGUUGGGGAUUCAUUUCCUUAGUAACGUAGCUAACGCGUGAAGUUGACCGCCUGGGGAGUACGGUCGCAAGAUUAAACUCAAUGAAUUGACGGGGUCAUAGCUGUUUCCU